UUCCGGUUGAUCCUGCCGGACCUGACUGCUAUCGGAUUGAUACUAAGCCAUGCGAGUCAUUGUAGCAAUACAAGGCAGACGGCUCAGUAACGCGUAGUCAACCUAACCUAUGGACGGGAAUAACCUCGGGAAACUGAGAAUAAUGCCCGAUAGAACACUAUACCUGGAAUGGUUUGUGUUCCAAAUGAUUUAUCGCCGUAGGAUGGGACUGCGGCCUAUCAGUUUGUUGGUGAGGUAAUGGCCCACCAAGACUAUUACAGGUACGGGCUCUGAGAGGAGUAGCCCGGAGAUGGGUACUGAGACACGGACCCAGGCCCUAUGGGGCGCAGCAGGCGAGAAAACUUUGCAAUGUGCGAAAGCACGACAAGGUUAAUCCGAGUGAUUUGUGCUAAACGAAUCUUUUGUUAGUCCUAGAAACACUAACGAAUAAGGGGUGGGCAAGUUCUGGUGUCAGCCGCCGCGGUAAAACCAGCACCUCAAGUGGUCAGGAUGAUUAUUGGGCCUAAAGCAUCCGUAGCCGGCUCUGUAAGUUUUCGGUUAAAUCUGUACGCUUAACGUACAGGCUGCCGGGAAUACUGCAGAGCUAGGGAGUGGGAGAGGUAGACGGUACUCGGUAGGAAGGGGUAAAAUCCUUUGAUCUAUUGAUGACCACCUGUGGCGAAGGCGGUCUACCAGAACACGUCCGACGGUGAGGGAUGAAAGCUGGGGGAGCAAACCGGAUUAGAUACCCGGGUAGUCCCAGCUGUAAACUAUGCAAACUCAGUGAUGCAUUGACUUGUGGUCAAUGCAGUGCUGCAGGGAAGCCGUUAAGUUUGCCGCCUGGGAAGUACGUACGCAAGUAUGAAACUUAAAGGAAUUGGCGGGGGAGCACCACAAGGGGUGAAGCCUGCGGUUCAAUUGGAUUCAACGCCGGG
rnacentral:rRNA from 1 species